rnacentral:sRNA from 1 species
GUUCGGUGGUAACUGGAGUAGUUUGACGGAUGGAACCUUGAGAAUCAAUCCAAUACUAAACCUUGAAGUCAAUAUUAAUCUUCAUGAAAAUCCGCACCCCUUUCAGAGAUAAAUGUGUUUUGGAAGAAUCUUGAGAAGAAAGCCGACCAUUUCUACAAAAUGUGGAAAAAGUUUUAA